rnacentral:rRNA from 1 species
GGGCGCAAGCCUGAUGCAGCAACGCCGCGUGGGGGAUGACGGCCUUCGGGUUGUAAACCUCUUUUAGUAAGGAAGAAGGGGAGCUUGCUCCUUGACGGUACUUGCAGAAAAAGGACCGGCUAACUACGUGCCAGCAGCCGCGGUAAUACGUAGGGUCCGAGCGUUGUCCGGAAUUAUUGGGCGUAAAGAGCUCGUAGGCGGUUUGUCGCGUCUGCUGUGAAAUCCCGAGGCUCAACCUCGGGCCUGCAGUGGGUACGGGCAGACUUGAGUGCGGUAGGGGAGAAUGGAAUUCCUGGUGUAGCGGUGGAAUGCGCAGAUAUCAGGAGGAACACCGAUGGCGAAGGCAGUUCUCUGGGCCGUAACUGACGCUGAGGAGCGAAAGCGUGGGGAGCGAACAGGAUUAGAUACCCUGGUAGUCCACGCCGUAAACGUUGGGCGCUAGAUGUGGGGACCUUUCCACGGUUUCCGUGUCGUAGCUAACGCAUUAAGCGCCCCGCCUGGGGAGUACGGCCGCAAGGCUA